rnacentral:rRNA from 1 species
UGAAGGCCAGGCUGAAGACUUUGCCGGAUUAGCUGAGAGGUGGUGCAUGGCCGUCGUCAGUUCGUACUGUGAAGCAUCCUGUUAAGUCAGGCAACGAGCGAGACCCACGCCCACAGUUGCCAGCGUACUCUCCGGAGUGACGGGUACACUGUGGGACCGCCGCUGCUAAAGCGGAGGAAGGAAUGGGCAACGGUAGGUCAGUAUGCCCCGAAUAUCCCGGGCUACACGCGAGCUACAAUGGUUGGUACAAUGGGUAUCUACCCCGAAAGGGGACGGGAAUCUCCUAAAACCAAUCUUAGUUCGGAUUGAGGGCUGCAACUCGCCCUCAUGAAGCUGGAAUCCGUAGUAAUCGCGUUUCAACAGAACGCGGUGAAUACGUCCCUGCUCCUU